AAGAAACUGAAAAUCACACAGCACUUUGACAAAAGGAACGAGGGCAUUCCCGUCAUUUCGACUUCAAGCCAUCCCCGGCCCACAAGAUACAACACCCGCCGGCGAUCAUCAAAGAAGCGCGUGCACAGAAGCCGAUGCACCUCCUUCAGCGCAGGAUGGUCAAAACACAUAAAAUAAAUUAAAGCCGAGGUUAAUAAAAGCUCAAUAUAAGAACGCACCGCACGGCACGGCACGGCACGGCAAGGCAAGGCAAGAACAGAACAGAAGAUAGGACGGCAAACGAGGGCGA
rnacentral:misc_RNA from 1 species